GAGGAAGGCCAGAGGCAAAUAAGUACUGCUAAUACUUAUAUCCAUGGUUAAAUUCCAUGGCUUCCUUA
rnacentral:tRNA from 3 species